rnacentral:lncRNA from 1 species
CUAAUUCCACUAAAGAUCCUAAUCCAACAAAGAGUCCUGAUGACAUCAAGAGUUCAAGCGACAAAAGGAAUCCUAUUUCCACUAGGAAUCCUAAUCCAAUUAGGAGUCCUACCGAGAUUCAACUUUGAUUAAUUGUAUUUCAUUCAUGGAUUAAAGCCCAACGUGAAGACAUGAAGAUCAGAUCUGAUUUAUGUUGAAUUCAAG